GUACUCGGGGACGCUGAAAUUACGUUCGAGCGCUUCCAUUGUCAAGUCCCACCUGACGGAGUUGAAGGCAUUUCUCACGUCUAAGGUGGCCAGCAGACACAAAGGGCGAGUUAGAUGGUUCCCACGCUCCGUCAUUUUAGCGGCCAUUCUAUUGUGAAUGGUAAA